rnacentral:rRNA from 1 species
CCGGCGACCGGCGCACGGGUGAGUAACACGUAUGGAACCUGCCCUAUGCAGGGGGAUAACCGGAAGAAAUUCCGACUAAUACAGCAUAACACUCCUGAGGGACAUCCCUUGGGAGUCAAAGGAGGCAACUCCGGUGACGGAUGGGCAUGCGGCGCAUUAGGUAGUUGGUAGGGUAACGGCCUACCAAGCCGACGAUGCGUAGGGGUUCUGAGAGGAAGGUCCCCCACAUUGGAACUGAGACACGGUCCAAACUCCUACGGAAGGCAGCAG